AUUGAACGCUGGCGGCAGGCCUAACACAUGCAAGUCGAACGGUAACAGGAAGAAGCUUGCUUCUUUGCUGACGAGUGGCGGACGGGUGAGUAAUGUCUGGGAAACUGCCUGAUGGAGGGGGAUAACUACUGGAAACGGUAGCUAAUACCGCAUAACGUCGCAAGACCAAAGAGGGGGACCUUCGGGCCUCUUGCCAUCGGAUGGGCCCAGAUGGGAUUAGCUAGUAGGUGGGGUAACGGCUCACCUAGGCGACGAUCCCUAGCUGGUCUGAGAGGAUGACCAGCCACACUGGAACUGAGACACGGUCCAGACUCCUACGGGAGGCAGCAGUGGGGAAUAUUGCACAAAGGGCGCAAGCCUGAUGCAGCCAUGCCGCGUGUAUGAAGAAGGCCUUCGGGUUGUAAAGUACUUUCAGCGGGGAGGAAGGGAGUAAAGUUAAUACCUUUGCUCAUUGACGUUACCCGCAGAAGAAGCACCGGCUAACUCCGUG
rnacentral:rRNA from 1 species